GAUGAACGCUGGCGGCGUGCCUAAUACAUGCAAGUCGAGCGAACAGACGAGGAGCUUGCUCCUCUGACGUUAGCGGCGGACGGGUGAGUAACACGUGGAUAACCUACCUAUAAGACUGGGAUAACUUCGGGAAACCGGAGCUAAUACCGGAUAAUAUAUUGAACCGCAUGGUUCAAUAGUGAAAGACGGUUUUGCUGUCACUUAUAGAUGGAUCCGCGCCGCAUUAGCUAGUUGGUAAGGUAACGGCUUACCAAGGCAACGAUGCGUAGCCGACCUGAGAGGGUGAUCGGCCACACUGGAACUGAGACACGGUCCAGACUCCUACGGGAGGCAGCAGUAGGGAAUCUUCCGCAAUGGGCGAAAGCUUGACGGAGCAACGGCGCGUGAGUGAUGAAGGUCUUCGGAUCGUAAAACUCUGUUAUUAGGGAAGAACAAAUGUGUAAGUAACUAUGCACGUCUUGACGGUACCUAAUCAGAAAGCCACGGCUAACUACGUG
rnacentral:rRNA from 1 species